UACGUAGGGGGCAAGCGUUGUCCGGAAUCAUUGGGCGUAAAGAGCGCGUAGGCGGUCCGGUCAGUCGGUUGUGAAAGUCAAGGGCUCAACCCUUGAAUGCCGGCCGAUACUGCCGGGCUAGAGUCCGGAAGAGGUGAGUGGAAUUCCUGGUGUAGCGGUGAAAUGCGCAGAUAUCAGGAGGAACACCGAUGGCGAAGGCAGCUCACUGGGACGGUACUGACGCUGAGACGCGAAAGCGUGGGGAGCAAACAGG
rnacentral:rRNA from 1 species